rnacentral:tRNA from 1 species
UCCCUGGUGAUCUAGUGUUAGGACUCAGCACUUUCACUGCUGUGGCUCAGGUUCGAUCCCUGGUCUGGGAA